GACAUGUGGUGAGUAGCGAACCGAAAGGGGAGCGACCCGUCAAAUCGGGCCAUCACACAGGUGCCUGCAUGGCUGUCGUCAGCUCGUGCCGUGAGGUGUUGGGUUCAGUCCCGCAACGAGCGCAACCCUCGCCCUUUCGUUGCCAUCGGGUAAAGCCGGGCACUCUAAGGGGACUGCCAGCGACAAGUUGGAGGAAGGAGAGGAUGACGUCAAGUCAUCAUGGCCUUUAUGCCUAGGGCCACACACGUGCAACAAUGGCCGGUACAGACGGAGGCAAUGCCGAGAGGCGGAGCAAACCCGAGAAAACCGGUCCCAGUUCGGAUUGAGGUC
rnacentral:rRNA from 1 species